AGUGCCCGCUGGCGGCAUGCCUAACACAUGCAAGUCGAACGAGUGGCGGACGGGUGAGUAAUGUCUGGGAAACUGCCCGAUGGAGGGGGAUAACUACUGGAAACGGUAGCUAAUACCGCAUACCAUCGGAUGUGCCCAGAUGGGAUUAGCUAGUAGGUGGGGUAAUGGCUCACCUGGGCGACGAUCCCUAGCUGGUCUGAGAGGAUGACCAGCCGCACUGGAACUGAGCCAGGGUCCAGACUCCUACGGGGGGCAGAGGUGGGGAAUAUUGCACAAUGGGCGAAAGCCUGAUGCAGCCAUGCCGGGUGUAUGAAGAAGGCCUUCGGGUUGUAAAGUACUUUCAGCGAGGAGGCGUUACUCGCAGAGGAAGCACCGGCUAACUCCGUGCCAGCGGCCGCGUAAUAC
rnacentral:rRNA from 1 species